ensembl:snRNA U6 U6 spliceosomal RNA
GUCCUCACUUCGGCAGUACAUAUACUAAAAUUGGAAUGAUACAGAGAAGAUUAGCAUGGCCCUGCACAAGGAUGAUAUGCUAAUUCAUGAAGCAUUAUAAAAUUAU